GGGGAAUAUUGCGCAAUGGGGGCAACCCUGACGCAGCCAUGCCGCGUGAAUGAAGAAGGCCUUCGGGUUGUAAAGUUCUUUCGGUAGCGAGGAAGGCAUUUAGUUUAAUAGACUAGAUGAUUGACGUUAACUACAGAAGAAGCACCGGCUAACUCCGUGCCAGCAGCCGCGGUAAUACGGAGGGUGCGAGCGUUAAUCGGAAUAACUGGGCGUAAAGGGCACGCAGGCGGUGACUUAAGUGAGGUGUGAAAGCCCCGGGCUUAACCUGAGAAUUGCAUUUCAUACUGGGUCGCUAGAGUACUUUAGGGAGGGGUAGAAUUCCACGUGUAGCGGUGAAAUGCGUAGAGAUGUGGAGGAAUACCGAAGGCGAAGGCAGCCCCUUGGGAAUGUACUGACGCUCAUGUGCGAAAGCGUGGGGAGCAAACAGGAUUAGAUACCCUGGUAGUCCACGCUGUAAACGAUGUCGAUUUGGGGGUUGAGCUUUGAGCUUGGCGCCCGUAGCUAACGUGAUAAAUCGACCGCCUGGGGAGUACGGCCGCAAGGUUA
rnacentral:rRNA from 1 species